rnacentral:tRNA from 1 species
GGGGUUGUGGCUCAACAGUAGAGCGCUCGCCUCUCACAUGUGAGACCUGAGUUCGAUCCUUAGCACCA